rnacentral:lncRNA from 1 species
AAACAUGCAUGAAUUGAUUAAACCCUCUAACAUCACAAUUUCGAAAAUCCAGAUUCAAAACAUGCUAUACCAGAUUCAGUACCAAAACUUCUUCAUACCCAGAUCCUAAUUCCAAACUACAGAAAAAACAAACAAACUAAGAUAUUCAGGCAGUCAGUCCUUGUAAAAUGUUUAACAGUCCAUUUACGUAGCCAAAAUCCAAAUGUUCUUUCUAAAUGGCCAAAAAACAAACUUAAGUCAUUGAGUAUGGAUGAACGACUUAACAUAUUCGAAAGAAAAGAUGAUGAUCUACUUCAUAACAGGGAAAUUAAAGGUGUAAAACGCAAAAGCUAAUAGAAUUUUAACAUUUAAACAGGAUUUCUAUUCAAAUUCCAGCAUAGAUCUCCAACUUUAUGCACAGAUUCAGUCUGGUUCUAACUUGUAACACCUCAUUUGUUAGCAAAUGGUAUGAGAAAAUACCUGGGAAAAACAAAAUAAGAGGAAAGCAGGGAAUCAGCAACAGCAAGACGGUGUCAAGCAGCAAAAAUCAACUCAAACCAAGCUUGAAUGCCCAAGCUUAAAACUCAAAACAACCCCAGGAGCUUAAAAAAACCUCAUACGCUAAUCACAGGAAUGCUUAAACCAUUUUCAACUCAAAUAAGCUAGAGAUUUGAUUCAGAACUUUGGAAACUUCAAAAUUACCAAAUAAAAUUCAAUGGAACAGUGUUUCGCUAAAGUUUUCAGCCACUUUUUUUGUAUUUUUCUGAUUUUUUCUAUUCACUCCUCUAUGAAACAGUAAAUUUGUGCAGUUUUCUAUAUUUUCUGGAUUUUCAGCUCUUGGGUCUCUUAGCUCUUAAAGAUCUGACUUGAGCUCUAAGUAACAAUUCCUUUAUAGGCAAGCUACUAGGGCAACCUUAAAGAGUUCAAAAUUGCACUUAAAACCUUCUGAAAUUUUUAUUUUUGCUUAGGAGUCCUCAAUGUACAAUCUAAAAAUUCAGAAUAAUCCCAACCCCAAUUUCCUAGAAGCUUCCCUGGUCAGCUACACCUAGAUUCUCUACCCCAAUUUCCCUAAAUUACCCUCUAAACCUCUGAAAAUUACCUUUGGACUCAAAUGGGUCAUGGGUCUAAUUUGACCCAAUUUUCUAAACCAAAGUGAGUCGGACUCUGACCCAAGCCUAACCUCACAAGAUCAAGAGCCCAAAUAGCCUCAAUUGGCAUUUGCCCUACUAUCGAAUUGCAACCCACAAGAGCACAUACUGACAAUUUGCGAGAAGUUAGCCUAAAUGACUUAUUAAUCUAUCACUAACACAAACUAACCAUUUUAGGUUAAUUAGCUUACUGCUUAUUAAGAAAACGACACCAUUUGCUCAUGCAUGUCUCAAAGAAAUUCUGGGACAAAAUGAAAAGAAGAGACGAAGAGAACAGAGCAUGGGAAAAGAACACUGAAGGAAAGAUUAAACAAAAAAACAAAAGGAAAGAUAUCUAUUACAGUUCGGACCAAGAAGAGAUAAGCGUGAAUCUUCAAAUCUUCGAGUUUCCGGUCAAAUAUGAUAUUAAUCGCAUUUUCUCGUAUAGAACAGACGAAUAAAAUCAUAUUAAACACGAAUCAUCUGCAAAAUCUCGAUUGGGGUUCUAGGGUUCGACUUUGAUCUAAAAUUCGAAGAGUUCUGGGGUGAUUUGAGGGAAAAGGAUUAGGGAUUGGGACAGAGGAGGUGAAGAAGGUUUCGUGGUGUAGAUUUUGGGUUGAACAGAGGUGGCGCCGCCACCGGAGAGAACAAGACGGCGCUAGGGUUUCUCCUUUGAUUUGAAAUUCGAGGGGUUUUGAAC